AGAGUUUGAUCCUGGCUCAGGAUGAACGCUAGCUACAGGCUUAACACAUGCAAGUCGAGGGGAAACGACAUCGAAAGCUUGCUUUUGAUGGGCGUCGACCGGCGCACGGGUGAGUAACGCGUAUCCAACCUGCCCACCACUUGGGGAUAACCUUGCGAAAGUAAGACUAAUACCCAAUGACGUCUCUAGAAGACAUCUGAAGGAGAUUAAAGAUUUAUCGGUGAUGGAUGGGGAUGCGUCUGAUUAGCUUGUUGGCGGGGUAACGGCCACAAGGCGACGAUCGAGUAGGGGUUCUGAGAGGAAGUCCCCCANAUUGGAACUGAAGACACGGUCCAAACUCCGUACGGGAGCA
rnacentral:rRNA from 1 species